rnacentral:rRNA from 1 species
UACAGAGGUGGCAAGCGUUGUCCGGAAUUAUUGGGCGUAAAGAGCUCGUAGGCGGUCUGUCGCGUCGAUCGUGAAAACUUGGGGCUUAACCCUGAGCUUGCGGUCGAUACGGGCAUGACUGGAGUUCGGCAGGGGAGACUGGAAUUCCUGGUGUAGCGGUGAAAUGCGCAGAUAUCAGGAGGAACACCGGUGGCGAAGGCGGUUCUCUGGGCAUUACCUGACGCUGAGGAGCGAAAGUGUGGGGAGCGAACAGG